UGGUGGUUUAUUGCUAUCAAAAUGUUAAUGUGGAUUUUAGGGGUCCUUUUUCUCUGAAAAUCAUGGCUAACUUGGGUGAACAUGUAGGCCACAAGGGCACGUACCCUCUUUUACUACCAUGUAUCAUCAUGUAUGCAACCAUGAUCAUACAUUUUCCACAACUUGAUUAUACAUCAAUGCACUUUGUUAGAAAAAAGGGUAUGAACACUUGCAUAGAAAUUCAUUUGAAGUUUGAAAAUUUGUGGUGUCUUCUCUCCCUUACACUAGACCAACAAAAAAUAGGAAUGGGCAUGGUUCGGUUAUCCAAUUUAUGGGGCAAAAUUUUGAACCUAGCCAUCGACAUCGGUUAACCAUUUUAUUCAGUUUUUAUCUCUUUGGUUCAACGAUUAAUCAGAUUUCUAACUAGUGAACUAAAUUGAGUUUAUAUUAAUUAAUUUGAACUUGGAUUUCACUUAAAAAACUUUCAAUAAUGGUUAUUUUCUAUCACAAAAAAUUUUAUUGUACUCAAGGAAGUAGAGCUCUAU
rnacentral:misc_RNA from 1 species